rnacentral:rRNA from 1 species
CAGUCGCCGCGGUAAUACAGAGGGUGCGAGCGUUAAUCGGAUUUACUGGGCGUAAAGCGUGCGUAGGCGGCUUCUUAAGUCGGAUGUGAAAUCCCUGAGCUUAACUUAGGAACUGCAUUCGAUACUGGGAAGCUAGAGUAUGGGAGAGGAUGGUAGAAUUCCAGGUGUAGCGGUGAAAUGCGUAGAGAUCUGGAGGAAUACCGAUGGCGAAGGCAGCCAUCUGGCCUAAUACUGACGCUCAGGUGCGAAAGCGUGGGGAGCAAACAGGAUUAGAUACCCGAGUAGUCCCUGUCUCUUAUAC